CCUACGGGUGGCAGCAGUAGGGAAUCUUCCACAAUGAGCGCAAGCCUGAUGGAGCAACACCGCGUGCGUGAAGCAGGGUUUCGGCUCGUAAAGCGCUGUUGUUGGAGAAGAACGUUCGUAAGAGUAACUGAUCACGCAGUGACGGUAUCCAACCAGAAAGUCACGGCUAACUACGUGCCAGCAGCCGCGGUAAUACGUAGGUUGCAAGCGUUAUCCGGAUUUAUUGGGCGUAAAGCGUUCGCAGGCGGUUGCUUAGGUCCGAUGUGAAAGCCGUGGGAUUAACCUACGAGGGGCAUCGGAAACUAGGAGACUAGAGUGAAGAAGAGGAAAGUGGAAUUCCAUGUGAAGCGGUGGAAUGCGUAGAUAUAUGGAAGAACACCAGAGGCGAAGGCGGCUGUCUGGUUCGAAACUGACGCUGAGGGUCGAAAGCAUGGGUAGCGAACAGGAUUAGAUACCCCUGUAGUC
rnacentral:rRNA from 1 species